AGUCUAUAAAUACAUAGGUGAUUUCCAGCAGUGUAUGACAUUCAUAUCAUUGGUCUCCAGGGUGUAGUGAUAGGUAUGGGAAGGACACAUCACACAAGAACUCAUUCAUCCUUCUGGAAAAACUGAAGGAAGAACAGCAGUUUGUGAGAUCUUUGGUUACAGUAGGUGCAGUGUCUAUACACAGCUUAGAUUGCUGUGCUUGCUAUGCCCAAGCAAAAUCUUUUUACCACAUCAAAAAAAAGGUUUAGCAUACAAUGUCCAUGUCCUCUGUUCUAAGAUAGUUACAAAGCAUUUCACAGACUGUCUGCUACAUGAUGUGUUAUUAUGCCAUUGCUCCAGGGAGAGGUGGUGGUGUAGGACAGCCUUUGCUCUUCCUCUCAGUUGUCCUAGCUUCAGAUAAUAUAAGGUGAGACACUGGUCAAGAAUUGUGGUUUGGGAUGUUCACGUCAGACCACAUGACCUCUGGAGGUCUCUUCCAACCAACAUUUCUAGAGUCCAUAGAAGACCUAUACUCAUCUGAAUCAGUAAGUAAAAGCAUCUCAAGAGGCUCUACAUAUUUACAUGAUGGCAACUAAUCAUGUUAUCUCUGAUCAACACCAUUAACGGAGAUUGAUGCAGCUGACCAGUUACUAGGCAAACUAGCUGUUUGACAAUUCACCAGUCAAGCAGGUAUACAUAAUCAGUGGUUGUAUGUAAGCCAAGUGAGUAUGCAUAUCAUGGGCUUUUUUGGGGUAUAACCAAGUGUAUCUGACUUGCUCAGUGAAUACUCUACCGGAAGGACAUCGGUUCUGUGUCAUAUCUAUGUGAAUAUCUCAGGUUCCUGGUGGUAUCUCCAGUGGCACAACACCUGUGUAGGCAACUGAACCGAGCUCUGAAUGUUUCCUAGGGUGAGUAGAAGGGAUUCUGCUUUUUCACCUUCAGCACAGCAGGUUUCAGGUUGUCCUCAGUGGCUUGUUCACUUUAAAUAAUUGUUCUUUGUGAGGCCGCGGUCGGUAUAUUUAGCUUGCAGGAUCACAGCACCAGGUCAAAAAAUUGCACAAGCACUCCACUAUGCAAAUGUUGAUCUGGGAUAAAGCCCUGUUGUCACAUUGCAUUUGUUCAAAAACUUAACCACAGCCACAAGUCACAGUUGUGUUGGUUGUAGCUCACUUACACACUGUUUAGAUGUACCACGUUCUUUUUACUGUCAUCCAAACUGGAGUUGGAGGUACUCCAUGUCCGAACUUCUGGAUCCUUUGAGGUUAUCACGUGUAAAAAAGUGAAUAUCCGGCAGUGAUGACUAAACUGUUGCCCUGGAUAUGGAGAAAGCCAUUAUGGAGAAAACGUAGAUUACCCAUAGCCUCUUCCAGCAGCCACUGCCUCUUCCUGUAGCCAGUCUGAAGGAUUCAGGCCAGCACUAGGCCACAUGAGAAAUACUGCUUUUCUGACUCUUUUCUGUCUUUGUUUUUGUAUUUAUUUUUCCCCUGGAAUCCUAAGCUUUUACUGGGCAUGCAGCCAGCAUUAGGCGCUUUGCUACCAGGGUGUGUUGGUAUAGGAACUCAUACAACAGCCGGCCUCAGCCUGGGGACCUGGAUUGCCAGGGCUGCUCCACCUUGCUGUCUUUGUUUGCUGUAACACCACGUGCAAUCCCAAGCUUAAAAAAACAAAGGGAAGGUGGUUCACAAAAAAGUGACGUUUGGAAACCCAGCCCUUGCAGGGACUUUGUUUUGUGUGACACAACCAAUUGAACCAGCGUAAUUAAGGGCAGAAGGAAGUGGGGAUGGGAUUGAGUGGAAAGUGGGAAUGAGAGCUGGCGUCAGGCUGGAGCAUGAAGGCAGUGACUGUGAGCUCCGUGCGGCCUCGCCCCUCACCUACUGACUGCUCCUGUCCUUUGUUUACCUGCAGUGCUUUGUUCAUGGAGUGGACAAAGACCUGGGUCAUAAACGAGGAGGUGCUGAAGGACAAGAAGCAUAGGGUUGCCCUGGUAGCUCCACUCCUCAGGACUGUGGUGUGAUGGGCUGCAGGCACUCUGCCAGUGUGCUGCACAAGCUUAGAACCUGAAAACAACCAGUGGUGGAAAUCUGAAAGCUGAUUCUUCUCCAAAAACGAGAGCCUUGGCAGAAGUCCCAGGAAGGCAGCACAUGAGAAUGGAAUUCAGCAUAAACACAAGUGCUGGGGACAAGCAAUGCAAAGCUGGGAAAUUGUCUUCAUUAGAGUUACACUUUUUUGUGUUUUCCACCCAAAGCAGGAAAAGACAGAGAAGUAUGGCUGGACUUCAGAUAACUUCUUAAUAUAAUGUGAAUGUAUAUAAAACUCCACUGAUCUUACUCUGCUGCUUAAUGGGUUUCUGGCAGCCCCUAUAUCUGCAAGAAUCUUGUGAUCCAAUUGUGAUCUAAAAUACUCCAAUUAUAUAAAAUGCCAGUAUUUGGUUUACAUUUACAACCGUUUUGGAAGUGUAUGAAGGAAAUGAGGUUAAUCUGAGACCCAGACUUAGGUACGUAUUUUUUCUUUAAGAAUACAAAAAGGAAAAGCCUGAGCUUCCUUCAUUCCAGCAGCCUUGAUGAUCCCCCAGCGCUGACUCCCCAACUUGCCAUGCAUCAUCACCUUGGUGUGAGACAAAUACUGCUGAACGCCUGGAUCACAGGCAGAGCCCAAGAACCAAUGCUUCCGACUGUAGGGAAACGCUGCCCUCAGAGGAUGGCAGGUAUCUAACAUGAAAGCCUAGGCGUGUGCUUGACAGAAGAGCAGCCUGCAAUGAGUUCCAGGGGAAGCAGAAGCCAGCAGCAUCUCCCCUGAUGCAUCCACACUCUAUUAAUUUUAUGACCUGAUGCCAUAAUCAGUCUGGAAAUAAAUUACACUGGCUCCUCCUGGUGGCUGACUGCAUCAAGCUCAGCACGCGGGAUGUGGUAAUCAGCAAUUAGCACUCAGGUUGUUUCAGGAGCCAUGUGUUUCAUCUGUACUGCCGUGAAGCUUGAAGCCUUCAACCAAAACCAUGUGGCUUUGCUGUUGUAUCUGACAGACGUGCCACCGCAUUCGAGCGUUGUUCUUAGUAGUCAUUGCCUGUUGGUAGCAGCAGCCAUCAGUGGCAGUGAUGCAGCUGGCCAUGGGCUGUAGCUGGCCAUGGGGUCAGCAGUAUGAGCUCUGAUUGCUUCAGAAGGAUAACGGGAAUAAUGCAGCUGGAAAACUUAUUGAUGGAGGAGGUAACACAAACAGUCAAAUAUUAAAAGAAAGCAGCUGGACUACUUCUGGAUCCAAUCCGUGUCCCCUAAAUAAAUCCACCGGGACUCAUUUCUUUAUGGAACCGCUACACUCUGUGGCACUGAGGAGAUGGCUGCUGCCCCAUGUGGGAGGGGAGCUGUGGGAAUGGCAGAGGACACUCAGCAUUUCAUGGCAAAACGUGAAUAAGUAUUCUGCAGCAACGCGGGCCUGGUGACUGAGCGCGCUGGCAGGCUGGCCUGGGGAUUUGCCUGCUUCUGAGGGACUGCCGUUGUAAUUACUGUCACCAUUGCUUGCAUCAAGGAUUACAACCACAUGAAUUUGGAGCCUCGUCACUUUUAGUCAAUGCUUUAAAGCUCGCUGUCUUUUAUAUACAUCCAGUGGUUUCCUUGACCUAUUUUUGGACAAUUAAAAGUUAUUUUUAUAUCUAGACUUUCCAAUUAACAACAAUAAUGAAAGUGUGCUGAUGAGGAUGAGCAGAAAGGUAGCUCUGCACUGUGUGCCACAACAGGGAGAGGGCAUUGGCUGUAAGGCUGCUCAGUGUUACAGAAAGCCAUCUUGCAGAGUAUUCUUACUGGUGUUUCAGAACACAGAACAGGUAUAGAGAUUACCUUAUGGCUGUGCUUGUCAGAUGUUCAGUGAGGACUGUCUGGAAGAAAGGAGGAAAUUCAUACAGGCUAGAAUGUUACAGGUGUGAGAUGUUAAAACUCUAGCAGCUCCUUCUCCAUCUGUCUCCUGACAACUGAAGUGUUUAGUCAUGGAACCUUAUUUAAAGUAUGUCUGAUUGUUAUUGUGAGAUUGUAUAACAGCCCAAGGGAACAUCUGUAUUUGUUCCAGGAACAGGCUAAAAUGCUAAGUUAUUGGGUUUAUGGAUCUGUGUUCCCCAUUACCUCUGCAUGUUCUGUUAUAGCUCCAACAUGGGUGCUGUGAAAGCAACCUGUAUGGAUAGCUCAUAUGUAACAUUUAUGCUGCAGACCCAACCCUCUCUGUUAAGCCUCGAUGAGCAUCCAUCCUCAGUGAGCAUCCAUCCUUGACACUCAGUACAGUGCCAUCUCAGGCCAAGCAGAACUGAGGAUUACCAGGUCAUCAGGUGGAAAGAAAG